GUUGGUGCGUUGCAGUCUGGGGUUGAACAAUCGUAUGUGAGGAAUAAACUCUGAUUGGCCCGCCAUCAGUCAUGUCUCAAAGUCACAAGUACGUCGACUCCCCUGGAAUGCAAACCCAGCGGAGAGAAAAUCGACAUGUAAAACUUUGUUGAACGUGACUAUUCGAAGGUAUGAACGGGUGAGACGAAUGAUAAACUAUAACGUAAAAAAAAACGAGUAUGAAAAAUUAGAAAACUAAAAUAAAACCAACACAAAAUACCAGAAUACUCGAAACUGAUAAGAAAUAAGUAACACAUUGGAGGAAAUGAAUCAAUAAAAAAUGAACAGUCCACAUAAGACCCGAAUAUUCAUGCAGUUGGAAUGAGUAAAGAAAAAUUUUGCAGAGCACAUAAAACCCAAGUAUUCAUGCAGUUAAUGUUUUUGUAAAUAUCACUUACAAAAUAAUAUCAUUUGUCAAACGUAUCUUCCAGUGAGCAUGAAAAUAAUUACAGUGUAAUCAAGGUUGACGUUUCGUUACGAGGCAUAGUUGUUAUUAUUCCUAGAAAUAACUAUAUUUAUUACCUAUCUCGAAUACCGUAAAAUAAUUUCGAUGCAAGAACGAUAGUUGUCAAUUUAGUGAUCUGUUUUCAGUUUUCCGAUGAUUGAUUUUGAUUCACCUUAAUUCAAUUUGUUUCAAACGUUCGUACAUAUAGGGUUCAACUUUUGCACAACUUAGUGCAAAGUGUAGGAAAGGUAUCUGCUUCAGUAUAUUAUUAAACAUAAUUAUAUAAACUGCAUAGUAACAUUUAUUUCUCAAUAACUAAUGCAUAUCAAUUCAUACUUUUAUAUAAGAACUGUUAAAUUCUAUCAACAUUUAGGUACUUGAAUAGUAGAAAUUGUAUGAACAAUGAUUCUCAUUUGUAAGUAAUAACUAUUACAGUUGAUGAGACCGUUCUUCUUUAUAUUUUUUCUGCUUCUCUUACUGUAAAGCAUAGUUGAAGAGCGGUCUGAUCAAAUUUCGGUGAGUAGAUUUGUCAUUUUCUCAGCAAUUGGUACGGUUUCAGCGCAUUUGCAAUCGUUUUUGAUCGAAUAGGACCGCUCCAUUGAAAAAAAAUUCAUGCUAGUGCCAAGGGAAAUACCAACUGAUAAAAUGACAUUUAA